AAAUAAAUCACAGGAUGUAUAUGGAUAGGUAUAUGUGUAUGCGUAUGUACAUGUGUAUGUAUAUGCAUAUGUACAUGUGUAUGUAUAUCUAUAUGUAUAGAUAUAUGCAUAUGCACAUGUAUGUGUGUAGAUAGAUAUAGAUAGAUGAUAGAUAGAUGAUAGAUAAUCUAGAAUACCUAAAGGCACAUUAAACAUGCUUCCCCAAAGAAACAAACAAACACGUGUACACACAAAAGAAUGAAUGAACUGAUGUAUACACAAAUGUAGAUAGACCAAGUGUGCAUUAUGCUAGGGAAUGGGACGUGGAGCAAAUAAUGAGAUGGAGAAGGCAGAGGGGAAGUGUGUGGUCACGGGUUAGAUGUGUAGACGGUCAGGCGUCAAGGAAGACCGGCUGAAGAGCGACCCUGGAGCAAGGGAGGUGAAGGGAUGCACGGAUGCACAGGGAAAGGCACCCAGGCAGAAGGGAGCCAAGGGGGUCAAUGGGCCUGGAGCACUCUGAGCCAGAUGAGUGUGGAGGGAGGGAGGUCACAGCACGGGUGGGUGGUGCAGAGCUGUGGAGGUCAUGGUGGGAGGAAUUGGACUUGGACUCUGAAGGGGACGGGAAGCCAGUGGCAUAAUAACCCCACACCUUAGUGGUUUAAGCAACACAAGUUUAUUUGUUGCUCACAUUGUCUAUCAAGAGAGAUUGGCCCGGGUGGGCGGGGCCCUUCACUUAGAGACCCAAAUGAUUUUAUUAGGCUGUUAUUUUCUUAGAAGGCAUCAGCGUCCCAGCUAGGGGAUGAGAGUGGUGAAAAGUGGAGCAGCAGCAAGUAAAUGCUUCUGAAUGGAAGUGACAUUCGUCACUGCCUCUCAUAUUUCAUGGGCCAGAGUUUGAGGCAAGCCAUGCCACAUGUCAAGGGAGAGGGGACAUCGGAUUAGUGACGGACAGCACCCUGCUAGUGCUAUGAUUUCCAUGAUAAGCCUCCAUUCCCGGCUCAAUUUUACUUUUUUAUUUUAUUUUAUUUUUUUGAGCUAGAGUCUCGGUCUGUCACCCAGGCUGGAGUGCAGUGGUGUAAUCAUAGCUCAUAUUGUGUCUGGAGUUGGUUGAAGCUGCAGACCUUCACAGUGAGUGUUACAGCCCUUAAAGAUGGCAGAGACCCAAAGAGUGAGCGGUAGCAAGGUUUAUUAUGAAGAGCAAAAGAACAAAGCUUCCACAGCCUGGAAAAGGACCCCAGCAGGUUGCCACUGCUGGCUGGGGUGGUCAGCUUUUACUCCCUCAUUUGUCCCCUUCCGUGUUCCAUUUUUGUCCUAUCAGAGUGCCCUUUUUUCAAUCCUCCCUGCGACUGGCUACUUUUAGGAUCCUGCUGAUUGGUGUGUUUUACAGAGUGCUCAUUGGUGCAUUUUACAGAGCGCCAAUUGGUGUGUUUUACAGAGUGAUGAUUGGUGCAUUUUACAAUCCUCUUGCUAGCUACAGAGUGCUGAUUGGUGCAUUUUUACAGAGUGCUGAUUGGCGCAUUUUACAAUCCUCUUGUAAGACAAAAAAGUUCUCCAAGUCCCCACUGGACCCAGCAAGUCCAGCUG
rnacentral:lncRNA from 1 species